AGGAUUCUGGUCUGGGAUGGGCCCGCGGCCUAUCAGCUAGUUGGUGGGGUAAUGGCCUACCAAGGCGACGACGGGUAGCCGGCCUGAGAGGGCGACCGGCCACACUGGAACUGAGACACGGUCCAGACUCCUACGGGAGGCAGCAGUGGGGAAUAUUGCACAAUGGGCGAAAGCCUGAUGCAGCGACGCCGCGUGAGGGACGACGGCCUUCGGGUUGUAAACCUCUUUCAGCAGGGACGAAGCGAAAGUGACUGUACCUGCAAAAGAAGCACCGGCUAACUACGUG
rnacentral:rRNA from 1 species